AGUGAACGCUGGCGGCAGGCCUAACACAUGCAAGUCGAACGGUAGCACAGAGGAGCUUGCUCCUUGGGUGACGAGUGGCGGACGGGUGAGGAAUACAUCGGGAUCUACCUUUUCGUGGGGGAUAACGUAGGGAAACUUACGCUAAUACCGCAUACGCCUACGGGGAAAGCGGCGGACCGCAAGGCGUCGCGCGAUGAGAU
rnacentral:rRNA from 1 species